rnacentral:rRNA from 1 species
UACGUAGGGGGGCUAGCGUUGCUCGGAAUUACUGGGCGUAAAGCGCACGUAGGCGGAUUGUUAAGUCGGGGGUGAAAUCCUGGAGCUCAACUCCAGAACUGCCUUUGAUACUGGCGAUCUUGAGUCCGGGAGAGGUGAGUGGAACUGCGAGUGUAGAGGUGAAAUUCGUAGAUAUUCGCAAGAACACCAGUGGCGAAGGCGGCUCACUGGCCCGGUACUGACGCUGAGUGCGAAAGCGUGGGGAGCAAA